rnacentral:rRNA from 1 species
GUUGCGGACAGUGUCUGGUGGGUAGUUUGACUGGGGCGGUCUCCUCCUAAAGCGUAACGGAGGAGCACGAAGGUUGGCUAAUCCCUGGUCGGACAUCAGGAGGUUAGUGCAAUGGCAUAAGCCAGCUUGACUGCGAGCGUGACGGCGCGAGCAGGUGCGAAAGCAGGUCAUAGUGAUCCGGUGGUUCUGAAUGGAAGGGCCAUCGCUCAACGGAUAAAAGGUACUCCGGGGAUAACAGGCUGAUACCGCCCAAGAGUUCAUAUCGACGGCGGUGUUUGGCACCUCGAUGUCGGCUCAUCACAUCCUGGGGCUGAAGUAGGUCCCAAGGGUAUGGCUGUUCGCCAUUUAAAGUGGUACGCGAGCUGGGUUUAGAACGUCGUGAGACAGUUCGGUCCCUAUCUGCCGUGGGCGCUGGAGAACUGAGGGGGGCUGCUCCUAGUACGAGAGGACCGGAGUGGACGCAUCACUGGUGUUCGGGUUGUCAUGCCAAUGGCACUGCCCGGUAGCUAAAUGCGGAAGAGAUAAGUGCUGAAAGCAUCUAAGCACGAAACUUGCCCCGAGAUGAGUUCUCCCUGAGACUUUAGUCUCCUGAAGGAACGUUGAAGACGACGACGUUGAUAGGCCGGGUGUGUAAGCGCAGCGAUGCGUUGAGCUAACCGGUACUAAUGAACCGUGAGGCUUAACCUUACAACGCCGAAG